rnacentral:rRNA from 1 species
AACGAACGCUGGCGGCGCGCCUAAUACAUGCAAGUCGAGCGAGAAGACGUAGCAAUACGUUUGUAAAGCGGCGAACGGGUGAGGAAUACAUGGGUAACCUACCCUCGAGUGGGGAAUAACUAGCCGAAAGGUUAGCUAAUACCGCGUACGCUCCUUGGACUUCGGUUCAGGGAGGAAAGCGAUACCGUGGGUAUCGCGCUCUUGGAUGGGCUCAUGUCCUAUCAGCUUGUUGGUGAGGUAACGGCUCACCAAGGCUUCGACGGGUAGCUGGUCUGAGAGGACGAUCAGCCACACUGGCACUGCGACACGGGCCAGACUCCUACGGAGGCAGCAGUAAGGAAUAUUGCGCAAUGGGCGAAAGCCUGACGCAGCGACGCCGCGUGGGGGAUGAAGGUCUUCGGAUUGUAAACCCCUUUCGGGAGGGAAGAUGGAAUGGGUAACCCGAUUCGGACGGUACCUCCAGAAGCAGCCACGG